CAAGACGGGUCGUUUAAAGCCAUUCCACCAGCAUCCUAAGUGUGAAGAGGUCGAAACCCCCGCCAAAAGGCACACUGCGUUCCUCAGUCCCCCAAGAUGUAUCCAGCAGAGAGCUAUAACACAGCCGAAACUGCUACCUUCUCUCUACCAUUAUCCAUCCCGGAAAACUGAUGCUGGCCUGCAAACCGAUUGCUCGGCAAGCAAGUCUGACUUCAAGCGUUUCCCUUCCAACAAUUUCACGUACUGUUAACUCUCUUUCCAAAGUGCUUUUCAUCUUUCCCUCACGGUACUUGUUCGCUAUCGGUCUCUCGCCAAUAUUUAGCUUUAGAUGGAAUUUACCACCCAAUUUGAGCUGCAUUCCCAAACAACUCGACUCUUCGAAAAUGUAUCACAAAGCGCUGGGCGUCCGCACCAUAUACGGGGGUCUCACCACUAUGCCGCUGUAUUCCAACAGACUUGUGUGCGGUCCAACGCGGAAAACAUUUCUAGAGAUUACAACUCGGACACCGAAGGUGCCAGAUUAUAAAUUUGAGCUCUUCCCGCUUCGCUCGCCGCUACUAGGGGAAUCCUUGUUAGUUUCUUUUCCUC
rnacentral:rRNA from 1 species